GAUGAACGCUAGCGGCAGGCCUAAUACAUGCAAGUCGAACGAUAGUGAGAAGCUUGCUUCUCACGAAAGUGGCGCACGGGUGCGUAACGCGUAUGCAACCUACCUUAAUCAGGGGGAUAGCCCGAAGAAAUUCGGAUUAACACCGCAUAAAAUCACAGUAUAGCAUUAUACAAUGAUCAAAUAUUUAUAGGAUUAAGAUGGGCAUGCGUGACACUAGUUAGUUGGCGGGGUAACGGCCCACCAAGACCACGAUGUCUAGGGGAUCUGAGAGGAGGACCCCCCAAACUGGUACUGAGACACGGACCAGACUCCUACGGGAGGCAGCAGUAAGGAAUAUUGGUCAAUGGAGGCAACUCUGAACCAGCCAUGCCGCGUGCAGGAAGACAGCCCUCUGGGUCGUAAACUGCUUUUAUUCGGGAAUAAACCUAUCUACGUGUAGAUAGCUGAAUGUACCGAAGGAAUAAGGAUCGGCUAACUCCGUGCCAGCCGCCGCCGUAA
rnacentral:rRNA from 1 species